GAGGGGAGCCUGGCUUGGCUGUUUGAGAUGUUUUGUGCAUCCGAAACAGCGUUUGGGAUAGAAAAAACAUCUGGUUUUGAGGAGGUCCAGCUACUAGGUCAAGGAACAUUCAAAAGCCUGGGUAAAAUCAGGGUUUGGGACGAUUAAGGAAAGGUUGCAGUUGUGCCCCAGGUCGUGUAGCCGUAAAAUUAAGAAUAAUUAUUAGAACUGAUAGCCAUAGAAUUUAUGUUUUAGACUAAGCAUUUUAAAGGAGGGUGCUAGCCGUAGAACUCAUGUGUUUUAGUAAGGUUGGAAGUUCUCAAGGGAAAAUGCGUAGUUUAUAAUUUCUUGUGAAUCACAGAAUCAACUGGGUUGGAAAAGACCUCUGAGAUCAUCAAGUCCAACCUUUGACCCAACACUACUUUGCCUACUUGACCAUGGCACUCAGUGCCACAUCCAUUCUCAUCUUAAAAACCUCCAGGGACGGUGAAUCCACCACUUCCCUGGGCAGCCCAUUCCAAUGGCUGACCGCUCUCUCUGUAAAAAAUUUCUUCUUAAUGUCCAACCCAAAGCUUCCCUGGACUGUGUCUUCUUGUCCUACUGCUGGUUCCUGGGAGAAGAGACUGACCCCCACCUGGCUCCACUUUCCUGUCAGAGAGUUGUGCAGAGCAACAAGGUCUCCCUGAGCCUCCUCUUCUCCAGGCUGAACGACCCCAGCUCCCUCAGCCUCUCCUCACGGCAAGAAUUGUGAUAAAAACAGAGAUGGUUCUUGCACCUGUGAAGAAACAGAUGAAAAGCAAGAAAGAAGACAAACCACAUCCACAAGACUGGGUUAAGGCCUUGAGCCAGUUCCAGAAGGGAGGAAAUCUAGGAGUCAAGAGAAGAACAUAACAAGAAAGAUGUUGAUGCCUGGCACCAGGGGUCACUUUACGACCUCUGAAGCAAUUCCAGGGAGGCAUAUGGUGGGUGGAAAAUAGGGUGGAAGAGGUGAGGUAAUCCUUGAAUGUGUAAUUAGAGAGUUGUAUAAAGUUAUGGAACCUGUGUGGUUCGUAGUGCACCCUUAGGAAUUUUUUUCUGAUACACCUGGUGCUGGAAUAAACGUGUGCUUUUUUGGCUUUCUGUACUCAAAA